CAAAGAUGCUGUGGGCAUGAAUAGCAACAGUAGAAGCAGGAGGAGCAGAAGCAGCCAGAUUCAGCCGUGGUAACUAGUAGGUCAAAUGAUUGUCCUGAUGGAAUUGGACCUCCCUUUUAUCCUCAUCCUCCUAUCACUUCUUCCCCACUGGAAGUUUGGAUCAAAAUUGUCUUUGGGGAGUAUAAGAUAGAGAUAGGCAGAAAUCAAGAGGGAAGAGGGUGAUAGAAAACAAGAAAGACCCCUGCAAACCAAAGCACUUCAUAUGCUUGAAUUCACUGCUCUGGGCAACUUUUUCAUUCAGAUAAAGACAGAGGGAGAAAGACACCACAAUACUGGAUGUGCAACUUGAACAUGUGUGCUUAUAGCAUAGCAAGUCACGCGGCAUGACACCUACUUGAAGAACUAUCAGUCGUUCAUCAUUUGUGUGUGUAUAUGUGGGGUUACACCUGUGUUUCUCCAUGACUUCAGUAUCCAUGUAGGAUUCAUAUUCAAAUAAAUAAUCAUCCA